rnacentral:rRNA from 3 species
UUAAGUUAUUAAGGGCGCACGGUGGAUGCCUUGGCACUAGAAGCCGAUGAAGGACGUUACUAACGACGAUAUGCUUUGGGGAGCUGUAAGUAAGCUUUGAUCCAGAGAUUUCCGAAUGGGGAAACCCAGCAUGAGUUAUGUCAUGUUAUCGAUAUGUGAAUACAUAGCAUAUCAGAAGGCACACCCGGAGAACUGAAACAUCUUAGUACCCGGAGGAAGAGAAAGAAAAUUCGAUUCCCUUAGUAGCGGCGAGCGAAACGGGAAGAGCCCAAACCAAAAAGCUUGCUUGUUGGGGUUGUAGGACACUCUAUACGGAGUUACAAAGGACGACAUUAGACGAAUCAUCUGGAAAGAUGAAUCAAAGAAGGUAAUAAUCCUGUAGUCGAAAAUGUUGUCUCUCUUGAGUGGAUCCUGAGUACGACGGAGCACGUGAAAUUCCGUCGGAAUCUGGGAGGACCAUCUCCUAAGGCUAAAUACUCUCUAGUGACCGAUAGUGAACCAGUACCGUGAGGGAAAGGUGAAAAGCACCCCGGAAGGGGAGUGAAAUAGAACCUGAAACCGUGUGCUUACAAGUAGUCAGAGCCCGUUAAUGGGUGAUGGCGUGCCUUUUGUAGAAUGAACCGGCGAGUUACGAUUUGAUGCAAGGUUAAGCAGUAAAUGUGGAGCCGUAGCGAAAGCGAGUCUGAAUAGGGCGUUUAGUAUUUGGUCGUAGACCCGAAACCAGGUGAUCUACCCUUGGUCAGGUUGAAGUUCAGGUAACACUGAAUGGAGGACCGAACCGACUUACGUUGAAAAGUGAGCGGAUGAACUGAGGGUAGCGGAGAAAUUCCAAUCGAACCUGGAGAUAGCUGGUUCUCUCCGAAAUAGCUUUAGGGCUAGCCUCAAGUGAUGAUUAUUGGAGGUAGAGCACUGUUUGGACGAGGGGCCCCUCUCGGGUUACCGAAUUCAGACAAACUCCGAAUGCCAAUUAAUUUAACUUGGGAGUCAGAACAUGGGUGAUAAGGUCCGUGUUCGAAAGGGAAACAGCCCAGACCACCAGCUAAGGUCCCAAAAUAUAUGUUAAGUGGAAAAGGAUGUGGCGUUGCCCAGACAACUAGGAUGUUGGCUUAGAAGCAGCCAUCAUUUAAAGAGUGCGUAAUAGCUCACUAGUCGAGUGACACUGCGCCGAAAAUGUACCGGGGCUAAACAUAUUACCGAAGCUGUGGAUUGUCCUUUGGACAAUGGUAGGAGAGCGUUCUAAGGGCGUUGAAGCAUGAUCGUAAGGACAUGUGGAGCGCUUAGAAGUGAGAAUGCCGGUGUGAGUAGCGAAAGACGGGUGAGAAUCCCGUCCACCGAUUGACUAAGGUUUCCAGAGGAAGGCUCGUCCGCUCUGGGUUAGUCGGGUCCUAAGCUGAGGCCGACAGGCGUAGGCGAUGGAUAACAGGUUGAUAUUCCUGUACCACCUAUAAUCGUUUUAAUCGAUGGGGGGACGCAGUAGGAUAAGCGAAGCGUGCGAUUGGAUUGCACGUCUAAGCAGUAAGGCUGAGUAUUAGGCAAAUCCGGUACUCGUUAAGGCUGAGCUGUGAUGGGGAGAAGACAUUGAGUCUUCGAGUCGUUGAUUUCACACUGCCGAGAAAAGCCUCUAGAUAGAAAAUAGGUGCCCGUACCGCAAACCGACACAGGUAGUCAAGAUGAGAAUUCUAAGGUGAGCGAGCGAACUCUCGUUAAGGAACUCGGCAAAAUGACCCCGUAACUUCGGGAGAAGGGGUGCUCUUUAGGGUUAACGCCCAGAAGAGCCGCAGUGAAUAGGCCCAAGCGACUGUUUAUCAAAAACACAGGUCUCUGCUAAACCGUAAGGUGAUGUAUAGGGGCUGACGCCUGCCCGGUGCUGGAAGGUUAAGAGGAGUGGUUAGCUUCUGCGAAGCUACGAAUCGAAGCCCCAGUAAACGGCGGCCGUAACUAUAACGGUCCUAAGGUAGCGAAAUUCCUUGUCGGGUAAGUUCCGACCCGCACGAAAGGCGUAACGAUUUGGGCACUGUCUCAACGAGAGACUCGGUGAAAUCAUAGUACCUGUGAAGAUGCAGGUUACCCGCGACAGGACGGAAAGACCCCGUGGAGCUUUACUGUAGCCUGAUAUUGAAAUUCGGCACAGCUUGUACAGGAUAGGUAGGAGCCUUUGAAACGUGAGCGCUAGCUUACGUGGAGGCGCUGGUGGGAUACUACCCUAGCUGUGUUGGCUUUCUAACCCGCACCACUUAUCGUGGUGGGAGACAGUGUCAAGCGGGCAGUUUGACUGGGGCGGUCGCCUCCUAAAAGGUAACGGAGGCGCUCAAAGGUUCCCUCAGAAUGGUUGGAAAUCAUUCAUAGAGUGUAAAGGCAUAAGGGAGCUUGACUGCGAGACCUACAAGUCGAGCAGGGUCGAAAGACGGACUUAGUGAUCCGGUGGUUCCGCAUGGAAGGGCCAUCGCUCAACGGAUAAAAGCUACCCCGGGGAUAACAGGCUUAUCUCCCCCAAGAGUUCACAUCGACGGGGAGGUUUGGCACCUCGAUGUCGGCUCAUCGCAUCCUGGGGCUGUAGUCGGUCCCAAGGGUUGGGCUGUUCGCCCAUUAAAGCGGUACGCGAGCUGGGUUCAGAACGUCGUGAGACAGUUCGGUCCCUAUCCGUCGUGGGCGUAGGAAAUUUGAGAGGAGCUGUCCUUAGUACGAGAGGACCGGGAUGGACAUACCUCUGGUGUACCAGUUGUCGUGCCAACGGCAUAGCUGGGUAGCUAUGUGUGGACGGGAUAAGUGCUGAAAGCAUCUAAGCAUGAAGCCCCCCUCAAGAUGAGAUUUCCCAACUUCGGUUAUAAGAUCCCUCAAAGAUGAUGAGGUUAAUAGGUUCGAGGUGGAAGCAUGGUGACAUGUGGAGCUGACGAAUACUAAUCGAUCGAAGACUUAAUCAA